CAAAGAAUAAUUCUAGAAUUUCUUCCCAAAUAUAUUUUCCAUCUACAUAGGAGUUUCAUACAUGAUCCACGUAUAGUUUUCAAUCCUCGAAGAAUAUUUCAAUGAAUAUCAUCAUAUAUAUAUAUUUAGCCCAAACCUUAAACAACAUUUCAUAUUUUGAACCUUAACUUGUCACCGAAUUAAUUAACUUCAAGCUAGAAGUAACAUCAUAGUACCCGAUAUCAAUUUGAACAUCCAAAAUACUUACAUUGCACGAUAAUAUUCCAAGACUAAUACUCUUUCACUUAACUUAGUCAAAAUCCAAUUAAUAAUAUCUUAGAAUACAAAUUAUUCCACCAAGAAAACUCUCAAAAUAGUCUAUUCAUAUUUUGGCUAUAAACACAGUUAGCUAGCAUUUUGAUUUUAGUAUCACAAAAUUCAGAUAAGAUAGCACAAAUUUACCACUAAGAAAAGUAAACAAAAAUAUUGGUCUUCUUGCCCCAUCUCUCAAACUUUCCGACAAAUUCUCAGAAUCCUAAAAGCUAUGCUCUGAUGUGACUAAUCAUGAUUCCCAAGUAAUCUUAAACCUAAGCUCUGAUACCAUAAAAGUUGUCACGCCCCCAGCCCGAGAUCGCGAACCGGGGGUCCGCGCCAACCACCGCACACCCGUAGGAAACUCUCCCCACGAGCAUGCAAGGCAUCUAAACCAAACACCUCAAUUAUGAAAUUCCAAAAUAAUUUAACAGAAUAAAUUGAAAGCUUAUUCCAUUGACUAACUCAAGUCAUAAUGUCUCACAAGUCUAAAUAUGCA
rnacentral:lncRNA from 1 species